rnacentral:rRNA from 1 species
CCUACGGGGUGCUGCAGUGGGGAAUAUUGGACAAUGGGCGAAAGCCUGAUCCAGCCAUGCCGCGUGUGUGAAGAAGGCCUUCGGGUUGUAAAGCACUUUCAGUGGGGAAGAAAGCCUUGGGGCUAAUACCCUCGAGGAAGGACAUCACCCACAGAAGAAGCACCGGCUAACUCCGUGCCAGCAGCCGCGGUAAUACGGAGGGUGCGAGCGUUAAUCGGAAUUACUGGGCGUAAAGCGCGCGUAGGCGGUCUGAUAAGCCGGUUGUGAAAGCCCCGGGCUCAACCUGGGAACGGCAUCCGGAACUGUCAGGCUAGAGUGCAGGAGAGGAAGGUAGAAUUCCCGGUGUAGCGGUGAAAUGCGUAGAGAUUGGGAGGAAUACCAGUGGCGAAGGCGGCCUUCUGGACUGACACUGACGCUGAGGUGCGAAAGCGUGGGUAGCAAACAGGAUUAGAUACCCUAGUAGUC